rnacentral:tRNA from 1 species
GGUUCUAUGGUGUAAUGGUUCGCACUCUGGACUUUGAAUCCAGUGAUCUGAGUCUCAGUAGAACCU